rnacentral:rRNA from 1 species
UAGGGAAUCUUCCACAAUGGACGCAAGUCUGAUGGAGCAACGCCGCGUGAGUGAAGAAGGUUUUCGGAUCGUAAAGCUCUGUUGUUGGUGAAGAAGGAUAGAGGCAGUAACUGGUCUUUAUUUGACGGUAAUCAACCAGAAAGUCACGGCUAACUACGUGCCAGCAGCCGCGGUAAUACGUAGGUGGCAAGCGUUGUCCGGAUUUAUUGGGCGUAAAGCGAGCGCAGGCGGAAUGAUAAGUCUGAUGUGAAAGCCCACGGCUCAACCGUGGAACUGCAUCGGAAACUGUCAUUCUUGAGUGCAGAAGAGGAGAGUGGAAUUCCAUGUGUAGCGGUGGAAUGCGUAGAUAUAUGGAAGAACACCAGUGGCGAAGGCGGCUCUCUGGUCUGCAACUGACGCUGAGGCUCGAAAGCAUGGGUAGUGAACAGG